UAUUGGACAAUGGGCGAAAGCCUGAUCCAGCCAUGCCGCGUGUGUGAAGAAGGUCUUCGGAUUGUAAAGCACUUUAAGUUGGGAGGAAGGGCAUUAACCUAAUACGUUAGUGUUUUGACGUUACCGACAGAAUAAGCACCGGCUAACUCUGUGCCAGCAGCCGCGGUAAUACAGAGGGUGCAAGCGUUAAUCGGAAUUACUGGGCGUAAAGCGCGCGUAGGUGGUUUGUUAAGUUGGAUGUAAAUCCCCGGGCUCAACCUGGAACUGCAUUCAAAACUACUACAGAGAUGGAGAGGGUGGUGAAUUUCCUGUGAGCGGUAAAUGCGAAAUAAGAAGAACACCAGUGGGAGCACCACCUGGCAAUCUGACUGCGUGAAA
rnacentral:rRNA from 1 species